rnacentral:rRNA from 1 species
GGAGAAAAGCAGGGGAUCGAAAGACCUUGCGCUAAGGGAGCGGCCGAUGUCUGAUUAGCUAGUUGGUGGGGAACGGCUUACCAAGGCAACGUAUCAGUAGUUGGUCUGAGAGGACGACCAACCACACUGGGACUGAGACACGGCCCAGACUCUACGGGAGGCAGCAGUGGGGAAUUUUGGACAAUGGGCGAAAGCCUGAUCCAGCCAUGCCGCGUGAGUGAAGAAGGCUUCGGGUUAAAGCUCUUUUAGUCGGAAAGAAAGAAUUAUGACGAAUAAUCAUGAUUUAUGACGGUACCGACAGAAAAAGCACCGGCUAACUACGUGCCAGCAGCCGCGGUAAUACGUAGGGUGCGAGCGUUAAUCGGAAUUACUGGGCGUAAAGGGUGCGCAGGCGGUUUGUAAGUCAGAUGUGAGAGCCCCGGGUAACCUGGGAAUUGCGUUUGAAACUGCAAGGCUAGAGUGCAGCAGAGGGGAGUGGAAUUCCAUGUGUAGCAGUGAAAUGCGUAGAGAUGUGGAAGAACACCGAUGGCGAAGGCAGCUCCCUGGGUU